rnacentral:rRNA from 1 species
GACGAACGCUGGCGGCGUGCUUAACACAUGCAAGUUGAACGGAGUGGCGAACGGGUGAGUAACACGUGGGUGAUCUGCCUCGCACUUCGGGAUACGCUUGGGAAACUGGGUCUAAUACCGGAUCUUGCAAGAUGAGCUCGCGGCCGAUCAGCCUGUUGGUGGGGUAAUGGCCUACCAAGGCGUCGACGUGUAGCCGGCCUGAUAGGGUGUCCGGCCACAUUGGGACGGGGAUACGGCCCGAACUCUUACGGGGGGCAGCAAUGAGGAAUAUUGCACGAUGGGCGGAGACCUGAUGGAGCGACGCCGCGUGGGGGAUGAAGGCCUUCGGAUUGUAAACUCCUUUCGACAGGGACGCGGUAGCUGGAUAUUGAGCACCGGCGAACUACGUGCCAGCGGCCGCGGUAAUAC